CUGGGAAGGAACCCUGGGAGCAGCUGGAGGAGCCCUGGAGCUGGGCCUGAUGCCUGCCUUUACGCUUGUUGAUGUGUUGAUUGGACCCAGCAUGGCACUAACUUCUACAGUACAGUUCAUCAGUGAACAGCACUGUGUGAUGACAAUAUUUAUGUAUAGGCCUUGUGUGAACUGAGGUGGCCCUGCUCUCCUGACUGCUCUCUCAGAGCACCUACUGCAUCGACUUGGCUACCAACCGAAUAUGGAGCACUUCCCCCAACCACAGCAUCAGCCGUGUCCUUAGCUGGCUUAGGCUGUGCUGCCUGUUUGGAGCAAACACAUAAGAUGUGUGUGUUUUACACUCUGAAGCGUGUAAGAACUAUCACCUCUUUGUCCUGCACGCUCCUAUAAAUGAAAGGAAGGUGUAUGGCAUUCUGAGAAUUAAUGACCAGUUUGGAGCCUGCUGAAAUAAUUUAAGACAUUGGCAUUGUUUUCUUUCACGGCCCAGGGCUGUCAUUAGCUGAGCACUUGGAUGCUCUUCCCAAGAGGCUGAAAAGAAAAGCCCUCCAGGAACUGCAGCAGAAUGACUCCCAUCCAAAACCAACAGAUCCUGGCAUGCAGCUGCGUUAGGGCUAUAGCAGGGCAAGUGCUCCACCACUGCACGAGGGAACUUCUGCAUGUGAGCCUGUGCUUCAGCUGCAGUAGAGCCAACCAUUUAAUUAUAGUGGGAGAGGCUGCAGGGACUAACCAGGAAAGCUGACUGCUAUGAGUUCAGCUUCUACUAUUUUUUCACUUUUAUUUUUUUAAAGCUCAGCUUCAGACCCAGUAACUAAAGAAGAACUUAUAGACAGCAGCAAUCCUGGCUAACUUCUCUUCUGCAGUAAGAAGGGAGUCUGGCUAGGGAAAGUGAAGGAACUGCACUCAAGAAGAAUACCACUGUCAAGUCAGUCAGACAUCUCUACCUCUGGAGCCCCACCACUCAGAGAUAAAUUAAGCUGAGAUGGCUGAAGGCAAGUCACCCUGCCCUCCACCAGCUGUCUGCCUGGUUUCUCCCUUUCUGUAGCAAGAGCAGACAAAUGACACCUCUAUUUGCUCCCAAACCACUGCAAUUCAGCGCCUGGCAUGGCUCUCACUGUAAGCUGCCCAACGAAGCCUGCCCAGCCCUCAGACUGGGAGCUGCAGUGGUGCAGCAGAGGCAGGUCCCUGCUCCUCUGCUUUACCAGAGUCUGAAGUACUCUGAACUCCCACUCAUCUGAAUAUGAACUGAUGUCAUGUCACGCUUCAGCACUACUGGCUGAUAUUUGGCCACUCAAUAUGAUUUACUGUGUGGUUGAACUGAACGUUCUCACUAGAAUACUGUAUUGACAAAAUACUAUGUUGGCAAAAUGCUGAGUCUAUGUUUAAGAGCACGAGUGCAGCAAGAAGAAUUAGGAGGGUGAGGCUGGAGUGAGAACCUGGUUCUUGUGCCAAGGAGAACUCAGGCCUUUCAGAUGUGUCCUGUGUUAAGAUUUAUAAAUGUUUCCAUUUUUCUGGCAUGCUAGACUCUGGGGUAGGCUUCUCAAUUACAUUAAGCCUAAGAAUUAUGGCAGUUAACAGAAGAAACAAGUUAGUCUGGAUGCCUGCCUCCUGUUUGUUCACCCUGGUGCUUGGAUGGGCCCAGCACCAGUAACCUGUUCCCUUAUGAAAUGACUAAACUGAAUAAGCAGCU
rnacentral:lncRNA from 7 species